GAUGAACGCUGGCGGCGUGCCUAAUACAUGCAAGUAGAACGCUGAAGGAGGAGCUUGCUCUUCUGGAUGAGUUGCGAACGGGUGAGUAACGCGUAGGUAACCUGCCUGGUAGCGGGGCAUAACUAUUGGAAACGAUAGCUAAUACCGCAUGACAACAGUUAUUGCAUGAUAACUGUUUAAAAGGGGCAACUGCUCCACUACCAGAUGGACCUGCGUUGUAUUAGCUAGUUGGUGAGGUAACGGCUCACCAAGGCGACGAUACAUAGCCGACCUGAGAGGGUGAUCGGCCACACUGGGACUGAGACACGGCCCAGACUCCUACGGGAGGCAGCAGUAGGGAAUCUUCGGCAAUGGACGGAAGUCUGACCGAGCAACGCCGCGUGAGUGAAGAAGGUUUUCGGAUCGUAAAGCUCUGUUGUAAGAGAAGAACGAGUGUGAGAGUGGAAAGUUCACACUGUGACGGUAGCUUACCAGAAAGGGACGGCUAACUACGUG
rnacentral:rRNA from 1 species